rnacentral:misc_RNA from 1 species
AACGCACAUUGCGCCCGCCAGCAUUCUGGCGGGCAUGCCUGUUCGAGCGUCAUUUCAACCAUCAAGCGCCCCGCGCUUGUGUUGGAGGACUGCGGCCGCCGCAGCCUCCCAAACCCAGUGGCGGGCUCGUCGUCGUACCGAGUGCAGUAAACAUACCACGCUCAGGGCACGCGGCGGGUCACCGGCCGUUAAACCCCCCACUUCUCAAGGUUGACCUCGGAUCAGGUAGGAAUACCCGCUGAACUUAA